CCCUUAGACGUUCUGGGCCGCACGCGCGCUACACUGACCAGUGCAACAAGCAUCCGUCCUUGGCCGACAGGCCCGGGCAAUCUUUGAACGCUGGUCGUGAUGGGGAUAGACUUUUGCAAUUUUUGGUCUUCAACGAGGAAUUCCUAGUAAACGCAAGUCAUCAACUUGCAUUGAUUACGUCCCUGCCCUUUGUACACACCGCCCGUCGCUACUACCGAUUGAACGUUUUAGUGAGGUAUUUGGACUGGACCUUCGGAGGUUCGCGCCUCCGUUGCUGUUCGGGAAGACUCCCAAACUUGAGCGUUUAGAGGAAGUAAAAGUCGUANCA
rnacentral:rRNA from 1 species